GAUGAACGCUGGCGGUAUGCUUAACACAUGCAAGUCGAACGGACUCUUCGGAGUUAGUGGCGGACGGGUGAGUAACGCGUGAGAAUCUGGCUUUGGGUUCGGGACAACCACUGGAAACGGUGGCUAAUACCGGAUGUGCCGAGAGGUAAAAGAGAAAUUGCCUGAAGAUGAGCUCGCGUCUGAUUAGCUAGUUGGUGAGGUAAAGGCUCACCAAGGCAGCGAUCAGUAGCUGGUCUGAGAGGAUGACCAGCCACACUGGGACUGAGACACGGCCCAGACUCCUACGGGAGGCAGCAGUGGGGAAUUUUCCGCAAUGGGCGAAAGCCUGACGGAGCAAUACCGCGUGAGGGAAGAAGGCUCUUGGGUUGUAAACCUCUUUUCUUAGGGAAGAACAAAAUGACGGUACCUAAGGAAUCAGCAUCGGCUAACUACGUG
rnacentral:rRNA from 1 species